GCCUACAUGAAGCUGGAAUUGCUAGUAAUCGUGGAUCAGCAUGCCACGGUGAAUACGUUCCCGAGCCUUGUACACACCGCCCGUCACACCAUGAGAGCCGGGAACACCCGAAGUCCGUAGUCUAACCUAUAUGGAGGACGCGGCCGAAGGUGGGUUUGGUAAUUGGGGUGAAGUCGUAACAAGGUAAC
rnacentral:rRNA from 1 species